GGGGGUUUAGCUCAGUGGCAUAAGCACCUGCCUUGCAAGCAGGUGGUCGUGAGUUCGAUCCCCG
rfam:Cavia porcellus supercont2_10 genomic scaffold, whole genome shotgun sequence.